rnacentral:ncRNA from 1 species
GCAGAGUAGGAAAACAGGCGUUAAGUGUUCGGCGGACGGGGAGUUGCCGCCGGAACGAAAAGUCCCCUGAAAACAGGGCUGGCUUGCGGUCGGUUUUCCGCAUCCCGCUGU